rnacentral:tmRNA from 1 species
GGGGCUAAUAUGGUUUCUAUUAGGAGAAUCAGUUAGUUUUAUAUGCUAUCAGGGAGAUGUCUUUGAACUUCCUUAAUCAAACAAGGACUAGCAUAACUGCUAACAGAACAUACAGAGGUUUCGCUUCUUCUCUUAAAAAAGUAGCAACUGGAUUUAGAAGUAUAACUUCUCCAGUAGCAGUAAUGGCAUAAGCUAUGUUUCUGCAGUAGUCUUUCCAAGUGAAUGAGCGCCGAAUGGCCUACUACACAUUUGAAGAAAAUUUAACUAAAGAAGUUUCUUUAAAUUACUAAAAUUUAGUCUAAUAUUUUUUGUAUUAAAACUUUUCUUGGAAAUAUUAGUAUUUAAUAGAAAGUUUUUUCUAUAAAGAUUUUUGUUUAUUUUCAACUUUUUAGAAUAUUUAAAAUGAAAUAUGAUAGUAGAUGUAUAAUUCUAGCCUCCUAAGACGAGGGUUCGAUACCCUCUAGCUCCACCA